ensembl:lncRNA
CCUCAUUUAAGGGUUGGCAGUGGAGGUGAGGGUAUCUUGCUGGAGAUCCCUGCCUACUGGAGGCCUUCUGAAGGUGGGAAGGACGUCGACACCUGAAAUUCAGCAAGACUGUAAGGGCUCUUCCUCCUCCAGCCGAAGCCCGGCAAUUCAGAAGUCCGUGGUCGGAAGGACUCCUCAGCUAUUCUCUUUGAUCCGGCAGCCAGGAGAGGGAGCUCGGCAUCCUACUCCCAGGCUCCACUCGCCCAACAUCACUGAAGACAAUGUUGAUGAUUCUUUUGUUCAACAAAUAAAAGAAGUGGUUCCCACGAGGGAGCCGUGUUGGCAGCUGCUUUAUGCGGGCUUAGGGGAAUUGCGGAUAAUCGAUGCUUGCCAAAGGCAAAAUGGACAGCACCAGUGGAAGAAAACAAAACUAACUCUCAGGCUGCUAAGAGAUUAUUGCAUGCAGAGGGACCCGUUUUGGAAGUCUGGAGUGUCUUCGGUCCGCACAGCCACCAAUGGGAGCAUCAAGCACUCAGGACCAGUGGAAGGGCAUGAGGCUCAACUUGGCAUCUUGGACUUCCAUCACCAAAAGCCUGAGGAAAGUCCUCUUGGUAAAACCCUGGGUUCUCUCCAGGAGCAGUGGGCACUCACAGUCCUACUUGAGCUCAGCGAGGGCAACUGGAUAUUCAGUGAUUUUUUUUUUAUAUUUCAGUGUUGAAGCAUGAGGACAGUCACCUAGCUUUUGGUGUCAGGAAGUUGAACGUUCAAAGCAUCAGAAUGGAAACAGAUUCCCAAAUGUACUGAAUGUUGGUGGAAAGAAAGCACUUUAUAAACGGAUAAUUAUUCAGUGCCAGUCUGCCAGGACUUCAGUAGGAUUUCGAGUGAGACAUUUCUAUAGAUAAAAAUAAUGUUCAAGAAGAGUCCCAUACUCUUAGCACAAACCUUUCUGAGUUUAGUGAUGCCAUUUUAAUUGGUUCUGGCUAUUAAUAGUGCUGUGAUUCCUGGGUUUGUUGGAAAUGUGAUCCCCACAUCCAGAGAUGCUGGCUCACCAGCAGUCAUUGGUCCUGGGGGUAUCCUUUCCUGAUGUAGUCUUGGUUCUGUUUCUCCUGUAAAUGUCUGUAUUUGUAUACACUGAUCCCUGGUGAUGGAUUUCUUCAUGGACUGUGUUCCAUCAGCCAUUCCCAGAGCUGCUGUAACAGCACAAAUACACAUUCCAGACACAUUUUCAUCCAAAUCUAGUGUGGGUGAGGACAGAGCCUGGGACAGCCAGCCUAAUCCUGACAGAUAAUUUUUCCCUGGGGCUAGGGUGAAGAAAAGUUAUUCUGAGAGUGCCAGAUGGGCUAUGGAAACAUCCUAACAAUACCUGUAAUUAACAUAUCCAGUGCUCCUUCACCUAAGAGCUUUCAGGAUGACUCACACACUCACCCUACAGAUCCCUGCAGGGUCAGGUGCUGCCUAAGCUGAAUGAGAAAAAGGAUGCAGGCACCCUCAUUGGAGACAGCUCAGAGCAGAGCUGCAGUGACUAGGGAUGUUAGCUCUGUUUUUAGCUGAGCCAAUCUCCUUUCUCUCCAUGAAAGCUCAGUGCAGGGAGAGAACGUUAUCCAUUAACCUUCCAGUAUGCAGAACCUAGUGUUGUCACCCGGCUCCUGGUGAGUGGUGUCAGACAUGGCUGGCGUUCCUCCAUCGAUAUCUUCAAUUACAGUGGCACUUCAGCCAUUCCUAAGAGCAUUUGCCAUUUACACAGUGGAUUUCUCUACCUGUGUGGAUCUCACUGGCACGAAAAAUGAGCAUGUUUUCUGAGCAUACCCUCAUCUUGGAGAAGAAGCAAUGCCAGAAAGACCAAGAAGCCAGAAUUCUGCAUCUUGCAGGCAAUUCAGAUGAUUUGCACAGUCCUCAUCAUUAAGUUCAUACAGCAAAGCCAUCAGACUGUGUGUUCCUUCCUUCAGGCGGUUCUUCUGCUGAUGAGCUGUUCUCAUCCUUACAGAUUGCUCAGUGCUGUGAGAUACCAGGUUGGAUAUCAGGAAAAGGUUCUGCACCAGAGUAUGGUGGACAUGGAACAGGCUCCCCAGGGCAAUGGUUACUGAACCAACCUGCUGGAGUUCAAGGGGUGUUUGGACAAUGCUCUCAGACAUAGGUCUGAUUUUUGGGUUGUCCUGUGUGGAGCCAGGAAUUGGACUUGAUGAUUCUCAUGGGUCCUUUCCAACUUGGAGUGUUCUAUGAUUCUAUGUGGCCUGAGGUGCUUUCUUUCCUAGAAGCCAUCUCACCCAUCAAAAGACAGAGCCUCUUUCCUAAGAUCCUUCUGUCAGACAGGCAUCUUCCACAAGGCUUUUAUAUUAGCACCAGUAAAGUGAAUAAGGAGUUAUAUACAAGUAUAUUUAAGAUAUUACACAGAAUCAUUCGAGUUGGAAAGGACACUUAAAGGCCAUCAUUCCAGCCCCCCAGCAAUGAGCGGGGACACCUACAGCUCCAUCAGGUGCUCAGAGCCCCAUCCAGCCUGACCUUGAGUGUCUCCAGGGAUGGGGCACCACCACCUCUCUGGACAACCUGUGUGAGUGCUUCACCAACUUUAUUGUAAAAAUGCUCUUUCUUAUAUCCAAUCAGGAUUUAUUCACCAACUUACCAUUUUUUUUUCCCCAUGCCUGAGAAAUGGUAAGCAGCCUCCUUGCUUGUCAUUUGUGGUCAUGCUCAUUAGCAGAUCUUCACUCCAUCAUGAAUAUUGAGAUUGGAGCUCAUUUGCAAUUGGUUGGCCGUAUCACAUGGCCGAUCUCUGUCUCCUGGUUGGAAGGAUGCCCAUUCAAAUAGAAGCAUGUUUUUCUGGGACUGCUCACGUAUUGACUUUGAAAUUUGUUUCCCACAAACAUUUGUCCUCACAACCCAACUGCUUUGGCGGUGGAAGAAAGCAGGCAUAAAAGAAACAUGGGCAUUUAUAAUUAAAAGGGAAAGUCCUUAGCUUUGUUGAAUCUCCUACCGGAGGUGCCAAUUAGAGCCUGCUGGAUCCUGGAUAGAGACACCUGCCCGCUUUUCUCAGCUCAUUGCAGAGAGGUGAGCAGCAGGCACCACACCUGCAGCCCAUCAGCAGGAUAUGCAUGAGCCUAGCUCUCCUAUCCUGCAGCCAGACGGGCCCCAGAACUUUUAGAAACUGAAAGGCUGAAUGAAAACAUCAAAUACCAAGACAGUUUUGCAGGAAUAUCAACUGGAAAAGAAAAACACGCACACAACUGUACCAAUACCAUCACUGGGCACAGACAGCUCCGGAUUUUGUAGCUUCCAGACAAAGUCAGCAGCAACCGUCAGAAUCUGUGUUUCAAGUCCGACCUUCUGCUUUUAUCUAUAUUUUAAACCCCACACAAGGUAUACAAGGCGAAUGUUGCUGUUACAGUCAGAAAAGCCUAAAUAAUGGAUGAAGAACAGAGGCUGCAAGGAGGGGGGGGGGGUGUAGAAAAAGAAAAGGGGGGGGAGAGAAAAAGAAAAAAAGAUGAGAAAAGCUUGAGGAGAAAAAGAAAGAAAAAAGGGAGGAAGAAAAUAAGAGAGGAAGAAGGAAGAAAAGAAAGAAAGAAAACGAGAGGAAGAAGGGGAAGAGCGCUCCAAAUCAUCUGGAGAGGCUGACACUGUCCGUGGAGCACUUUUUUCCUCCAUUGCUGUGGUGCAGGACACAGAGUAUUGAUCUGGGAUGUUGUGGGAAUUGCUGCUCUCCAUCCAGAGCCAAAAUGGAGCAUCCUCUCUGCUGCCUUUAGUGUAGCCCAAGCUCAUCCUCCAAAGGGGACACAUACAGGAAGGAGAGAUCUGAUGUUAAGCAUGGUGCUCAUUGUUUCCAGCGUCUCCUUGCCAAUCAACCUGUGUCCUUUCUCCUCUUUCACCUUUGGAAAGGUGCCCAGGAGCAGGUUCUUAGCAACUCGUCUAUGCCAGUGGUCAUGGUUUGUAACAUGAAAGUGACUGCCUGACUCCAACCUCCACCAUGAUGUGCCGUGGUCUGUCCCCAGCCACCAACCAUUUGUGUCAUUGAUGCUUAGAAAAGAUGUGAAGACCCAACCCUCUGCUAAGCAAGGGAUUUUCUUGGCUGUAGAAAGAGCAAGGAAACAGCAAGCUGGCAAAAACUGAAGGCAUGAAAGUUGGUCUGGAAGGGCAUUGAUCCAUCAGAAGAGAGACAGAGAUGUUCCCUCAUUCAUGAGCAGCAUAGUAAGCCAUGUCGAUACAAUACAUUAGUAAUAAAUGGUGGGAGAAUAGGGAGAAAUAGCACAUCCAAAGGGGAUACCCAAGUACAAGUUCUAAGUGUUUCUUCUACCAGAACUGUGUCAAUCAUCUUCUUUAAUGAGGCUUCAAACAAAGUCUGUCUGGAGCAUCUGAAAGUCACUGUAGCAGCAAACGCAGUACAGGCUUUCCAGAGAGCAGAGGGAGCACUUGUGUAAGACCCAGGUUGCAGGAGGAUUGAUACAGGGUGCAUUCACCCAGCCAUCCCGAGAAGAAUUUGUGGCUUUGGCUCCUUUCCAGGCAGAGA